rnacentral:rRNA from 1 species
GCAAGUCGAGCGAGAAAGGCCUUCGGGUUGAGUAUAGCGGCGGACGGGUGAGUAACGCGUAGGAAUCUACCGAGUAGUGGGGGACAACAUGUGGAAACGCAUGCUAAUACCGCAUACGCCCUACGGGGGAAAGGGGGCAGCUGCUGCUCUUGCUAUUUGAUGAGCCUGCGUAAGAUUAGCUUGUUGGUGAGGUAAUGGCUCACCAAGGCGACGAUCUUUAGCUGGUCUGAGAGGAUGAUC